GAUGUAUUUGUUUUGAGACAGCUGCCUUAGUUAUAAAUGGCUGCUGUGAUACAACACCCUACGGAAGCAACCCAGAGAGGGAUGGCCGCAGGAGCAAGGAACGGCUGGUCAGCUGACUUCCACAGUCUCGGAGGAAGGGAGCAUCCUGGAUAACCUGCUGUCUACUCCCUGCUCUCCGCCUACUAAGUUAAGUCCCCACCCCACUGAGGGAGCCAUGCCACCCAUGGUGGCAUCCGGUCUUCCUAAUCAAGAUAACCUCCAUGUCCCAAGGCCUCUCUUCCAGGAGAUUCCAGAUUUUGCCAA
rnacentral:lncRNA from 1 species